GCAGCUGUGUAGCAUAGUGGUAGGGAGCAGGACUCGUAACCAAGAGGUUGCUGGUUCGAAUCCGUACUGGUGCA